UACGGGGGGAGCAAGCGUUGUUCGGAUUUACUGGGCGUAAAGGGCGCGUAGGCGGUCAGCACAAGUCAGUUGUGAAAUCUCCGGGCUUAACUCGGAAAGGUCAACUGAUACUGUGCGACUAGAGUGCAGAAGGGGCAACUGGAAUUCUCGGUGUAGCGGUGAAAUGCGUAGAUAUCGAGAGGAACACCUGCGGCGAAGGCGGGUUGCUGGGCUGACACUGACGCUGAUGCGCGAAAGCGUGGGUAGCAAACAGG
rnacentral:rRNA from 1 species